rnacentral:tRNA from 1 species
GCACUUGUAGUUCAACGGAUAGAAUAUAAGAUUCCGAUUCUUAAGAUUAGGGUUCGAUUCCCUACAAGUGUAC